CGCAGGCCCAGGUCCGGCCGACUUUCUCCAAGGGCGCUCGGACUUUGGGGAGCCCUUCUCCCUGGGGGAGCGACCUCGCCCGUGGAGUGAUGGCCGGGCGUCCCCCCGGGUGCCUUUGGUCCUCCGUGGAGGUCAGGAGGUGGUCCCUGUCGCGCUGGGCGCCCUCGCAUGGCCGUUCGGUAACGACAGACUCGGGAGAGGGCACCGGGCUGGGCCGAAGCUUACUGAGCCCCCUUGGCCCAUCAAGCCGCCCCGGCGGGAUACCCGAGGCUGAGGCUGAAGGCACACGGGCCCAGGACUCCCAGAGCCCUCUUCCUGUCCUCCGCCCUGGCCGGGGGCCCAUAGGAAGACCCCCGACCCUGCAUAAAGGCCAGGAUUCCCCAGCUUUUGGCCAAAGUCCUGGCCACUCGCAGCUGCCCAGCGGGCAGUUCCUGGCGUCCAGGGCGGAAUGCGUGACAUGAGUGAGGGCAGGAAGGUGCUCUCCGGCCCAGGGUCGCAGCCGGCCCCGGUGCUGAUCCGCCCUGAUCUCCCUUCUAGGCCACACCCUGGGUGGUGGGGGCGCGGUCUGUCCAGCUGGCAACGUGUGACGGUAGGAGGGGCUUCAAGGACAAACAGAUUCUGCAACUGAAAUUAUAUGGAUCCUGGCUCAGCUGCCGGGAACCGCGGGUUUUCACUGCUGAUUCACUGGGGGACACCAGGCAAGUCCAAGCCCUUCUCUGAGACUGGCUCAGCCCGGAGGCUGGGGUGCGGUGUCUGAGGGCUCCCACCCUGGACUCCGGUGGAAUCCUGGGCCUGUAUGAGCUGGGGCUGCACUGCAGCCCCCGGACCCCUUACCCCGUGGCUUCCCUGCGCAGGGGCCGGAACGGGGAUGCGAGCGCAGAGAGGGUCCCCUGGGCCCAGGGCCUCCGAUGGGGGUCCUGUCCUGGAAAUUGGUCUCUGCAGAGUCAGACUCACCCCUUCUCCACUGAGGUGGAAGCAGGGGGUCCCAGCUUAGGGUCUGGCCCGUAGAGAGAGGUCAGGAAGGAGCUGGCCCCUGCAGCAGUAAACUCAGGCCAGGUGGCUGGUGAGGCGGGGGCUCAGGUCUCUUGCCCUUCCCCGAGGAAGCAGCAGUGGGCACCUUUAGGGCAAGGGGGAGAGCUUUCCUCACCGAAGCAAGAUGGGGCAGCAGGUGGACCCAUCAGCAUCUCCCUAAGAAAUCAGAAAGCCAGGAGUGAAACCUGAGCGGGGCCCUCCAGCCCCAUCUGAGAGCCUACACUGAUCCCUCCUCCUGCAAAGCCUCAUCCCCUCCUCUCUAGAGCGGGGAGACCCGGCUCCCACUGGACUUGCUUGUGAAGAAUGGACGGAUAAAUUACCCAGAGGCUUCCCACUGUGCUGGGACAGAAAGGGCUCAGAGAGGAAGAAGAGCUACCCACUCUCCCAACCCCUCGCCUGGACCGCCGGCGCAUUGAUGCACUAAAUGUCUCUUUCCCCAGGUGGCUCCCUCAGCAAGAAGGGGGCCUCUGUCCUCACGGUCCUGGGCCUGCCUGCUCUGGCCAAGAGGACCAGCCAGGUCUGGGACCCAGGCAGCCGCCCGCCAACAAUGCCAUGGGUACCUGCUGCCCCCUGGUGGUGCUGUCACCACGGGGCACCUGGCUGCACCCAGGAGGGGCUGCACAGAAAAUCUGGGGUUGACCGUUGAGAAGACCCAACUCAGGAGACACAGACUUCACCACAGUGGCCCUGAGCCACUCAGGCCUCCCUGGUUCCCAGGUCCUGAUCGGCAUAGGACAUUCACCGGCCCUGUGCACCUCCCAGAAUCCUUGGAGGCUCUGAGGGCAGGAUGGAUGUGAAUCAAAGAACAAAAGUUUGGUGGGGCCAGGUACAGCAGCUCAAGCCUGUAGUCCCAGCACUUUGGGAGGCUCAGGCAGGCAGAUGGCUUGAGUCCAGGAGUUCAAGACCAGCCUGGGCAACACAGUGGGUCCCUGUCUCAAAAAUAAAAUAAAAGGUAAAGAAAAUGGGGCAGGAGCUCCCUUUGUAACCUUUAGUGUGAGUGUAAUGAUGAACAGGUUGAGACUGUGGACUCAAGGCACAUGCCAGGAAGACUAAUAGAGAGGACGCUGUUUGGGAAAAUCCUACCACCAUCCAUGUCCACUUGGACUCAGGGCUGUCUGCCAGGACUGCCUGCUGCACACCUCCAGGGGGCGAGAGUCCCAUCACACCUUGGAGAUGGGCUCCAGGGGGAGCUGCUUACACAGACUGCCAGUGAGCAUCGGCCCUCAGUGACACCCUGUCUCUCUUCUGCGCGGAUGGGCACCUCGGGGCUCCCGCCUCACUGGAGGUAAAAUCUAGCAAAUCACUGUAAUUGUAAUUUUUAAAUCCAAUAUAUUCUUUCAUGGAAGCCACAGAUGCGUUAAACUGAUCCAAAGACAGCUUAUAAAAGGCAAUGUAAUCGGAGGCUGGACGUGGUGGCUCAUGCCUGUAAUCCCAGCACUUUGGGAGGCUGAGGCGGGUGGAUCCCUUGAGUCCAGGAGUUCAAGACCAGCCUAGGCAACAAGGUGAAACGCUGUCUCCACCAAAAUACAAAAAUUAGCCUGGCAUGGUGGUGCACGCCUAUAGUCCCAGCUACUUGGGAGGCUGAGGUGGGAGGAUCACUUGAGCCCAGGAGGCAGAGGUUGCAUCGAGUCGAGAUCGUACCACUGCACUCCAGCCUGGGUGACAAAGUGAGACCCCAUCUCAAAAAAAAUAAAAAAUAAAAGGCAAUAUAAUCUUAUUUAUUGACUUGUGGCAUAUUUUAACACUAUCGCUAUGUGAAUUAACG
rnacentral:lncRNA from 10 species